rnacentral:misc_RNA from 1 species
GAUGAAGAACGUAGCGAAAUGCGAUACUUGGUGUGAAUUGCAGAAUCCCGUGAACCAUCGAGUCUUUGAACGCAAGUUGCGCCUCAAGCCAUUAGGUUGAGGGCACGUCUGCCUGGGCGUCACAUAUCGUUUCCUGAUGCCAGUUUCCUCGUGAUGGGUGACUGUGCAGGGCGAAUGAUGGCUUCCCGUGAGCAUUGUUGCCUCAUGGUUGGUUGAAAAUUGAGUCCUUGGUAGGGAGUGCCGUGAUAGAUGGUGGUUGAGUGACGAACGAGACCCAAUCAUGUGAGACCCCUACCGAAUUUGGCCUUCAUGACCCACAUGCGUCUUUGGAACGCUCAUGACGAGACCUCAGGUCAGGCGGGGCUACCCGCUGAGUUUAAGCAUAUCAAUAAGCGGAGGA